AAAUAUAACCUUAGUACCUAGAUAAACAUAGAAAAUAACAGAUCAACCAAAGCAUACGCUAGAAAACUAAUCAUAAUUAUUUUUUUUUCCUAAUCUGAUAACUUAAAAACAGGUUUUUUUCCAGCAAUCACCUACAUGAGGAUCACGUUUAGCCUUCAUUGAAUGCCCUUCCAAAAUAAACAACAUAACCAUGAAAACAC
rnacentral:lncRNA from 1 species